AAAACCAAAAAUGUAAGCAGAAAGGGGAAAUUAUAGAGACCAGAGAGGAAAUCAGUGAAAAAGAAAAUAUACUCAGGUACAGUAAAUAGAGAAAGUCAAAAGCUGGUUCUGUGAGAAGAUCAAGAAAAAUGAUAAACCCCUUGUUGGACCUAUCAGAGAAAAAAAAGAAAACACACAUGACCAAUAGUAUCAGGAAUGAGACGGGUACAUCACUAUGAGGAAGAUAGAGAGGGACUAUUAUGAACAACUUUAUGCCAGGACGUUUGACGACUUAGUUGAAAUGGACAAAUUUCUUAAAAGACACAAACUCCAAAGACAUUUUCACUCAAAAGAAGUGAAUACCUUGAAUAUUAAAUAAAUUGAAUUUGCCCGUGCCUGAACCAUAUUGGAAGUGUUCUGUAACAAUAUGCUGAUUUUCGCCAGGCUGGCCUUCUCUCCAGUUUUUCAAGUGAGUGUGUGUGCUUCAUGUGCUUUCACAUGUGCAUAUGCGAAAUUUUGCAUGUUUUCUGUAGUUAACAUAAUUCUCACGUUUUACCAAAAGGAAACUUCCUUUCCAUGAUGCCAAGUGCUUGAGGGGAAGGGUCUGUCCUUCUGAGCGGAGAGGCAGGCGGAAGGCUUCCAAGGACUGAGUAUUUGGAGAUAUAAAAACCUAAAUCGCCGGAUUCUCCUUCCUGUUUAAAAUGACCUGCUUCUCAGAUAUUUGCAGAUAAUCUGACAAAGGGGAAUAUGCCUGUGAGCCAUGUUCCAGAAGCUAAUACCUGGCGGGAUGUGUAUAACAAAUUACUUGCUUCGAGUGUUACAGCUGAGCUCAUGGAUGGCAUUCUUACUGGAUUAUUAAAGGCUUCUCAGGGUGUUUGGGAACGCCUCUGUUUCAAGUUUAAUUCCACAAGUCCCUGAGUGAACACGCUGUGGCAACUUCAAACAAAAAUCAGAUUAACCAAACCAGCCUCCUCUCCUGGGGAAAGGAAACUGCCCUUCAAAAGGUAGUGCUGGAAAAGAAAAGGUGUAUGCCCCCCAAAAUUGAAAACAGAGGCUCAAACGAAAACUUGUUCGCCUAUGUUCAUAGCACCACUACUCGCAAUAGCCUGAAGGUGGAAACAACUCAGAUGUCCAUUAAUGGAUGAAUGGAUAAACAAAAUGUGGAACGUUAUUCGGCAACAGGAAGGAAAGAAAUUGAUACAGGCUACAACA